rnacentral:rRNA from 1 species
GAUGAACGCUGGCGGCGUGCUUAACACAUGCAAGUCGAGCGGAGUUAUGAAGAGGAAGUUUUCGGAUGGAAUCUUUGUGACUUAGCGGCGGACGGGUGAGUAACGCGUGGGUAACCUGCCUUACACUGGGGGAUAACAGUUAGAAAUGACUGCUAAUACCGCAUAAGCGCACAGUGCGACAUCGCACAGUGUGAAAAACUCCGGUGGUGUAAGAUGGACCCGCGUCUGAUUAGGUAGUUGGUGGGGUAACGGCGCACCAAGCCGACGAUCAGUAGCCGACGUGAGAGGGUGACCGGCAACAUUGGGACUGAGACACGGCCCAAACUCCUACGGGAGGCAGCAGUGGGGAAUAUUGCACAAUGGGCGAAAGCCUGAUGCAGCGACGCCGCGUGAGUGAAGAAGUAUUUCGGUAUGUAAAGCUCUAUCAGCAGGGAAGAAAAUGACGGUACCUGACUAAGAAGCCCCGGCUAACUACGUGCCAGAAGCCGCCGUAA